rnacentral:rRNA from 1 species
GGGUUGUGAGGUUAAGCGACUAAGCGUACACGGUGGAUGCCCUGGCAGUCAGAGGCGAUGAAGGACGUGCUAAUCUGCGAAAAGCGUCGGUAAGGUGAUAUGAACCGUUAUAACCGGCGAUGUCCGAAUGGGGAAACCCAGUGCAAUUGUUGCACUAUCGUUAACUGAAUACAUAGGUUAACGAGGCGAACCGGGGGAACUGAAACAUCUAAGUACCCCGAGGAAAAGAAAUCAACCGAGAUUCCCCCAGUAGCGGCGAGCGAACGGGGAGCAGCCCAGAGUCUGAAUCAGCUUGUGUGUUAGUGGAACGGUCUGGAAAGUCCGACGGUACAGGGUGAUAGUCCCGUACACCAAAAUGCACAGGUUGUGAACUCGAAGAGUAGGGCGGGACACGUGGUAUCCUGUCUGAAUAUGGGGACCAUCCUCCAAGGCUAAAUACUCCUGACUGACCGAUAGUGAACCAGUACCGUGAGGGAAAGGCGAAAAGAACCCCGGCGAGGGGAGUGAAAAAGAACCUGAAACCGUGUACGUACAAGCAGUGGGAGCACCUUCGGGUGUGACUGCGUACCUUUUGUAUAAUGGGUCAGCGACUUAUAUUCUGUAGCAAGGUUAACCGUAUAGGGGAGCCGCAGGGAAACCGAGUCUUAACUGGGCGUUAAGUUGCAGGGUAUAGACCCGAAACCCGGUGAUUCUAGCCAUGGGCAGGUUGAAGGUUGGGUAACACUAACUGGAGGACCGAACCGACUAAUGUUGAAAAAUUAGCGGAUGACUUGUGGCUGGGGUGAAAGGCCAAUCAAACCGGGAGAUAGCUGGUUCUCCCGAAAGCUAUUUAGGUAGCGCCUCGUGAAUUCAUCUUCGGGGGUAGAGCACUGUUUCGGCUAGGGGGUCAUCCCGACUUACCAACCCGAUGCAAACUACGAAUACCGAAGAAUGUUAUCACGGGAGACACACGGCGGGUGCUAACGUCCGUCGGAAACAACCCAGACCGCCAGCUAAGGUCCCAAAGUCAUGGUUAAGUGGGAAACGAUGUGGGAAGGCACAGACAGCCGUGAUGUUGGCUUAGAAGCAGCCAUCAUUUAAAGAAAGCGUAAUAGCUCACUGGUCGAGUCGGCCUGCGCGGAAGAUGUAACGGGGCUAAACCAUGCACCGAAGCUGCGGCAGCGACACUAUGUGUUGUUGGGUAGGGGAGCGUUCUGUAAGCCUGCGAAGGUGUGCUGUGAGGCAUGCUGGAGGUAUCAGAAGUGCGAAUGCUGACAUAAGUAACGAUAAAGCGGGUGAAAAGCCCGCUCGCCGGAAGACCAAGGGUUCCUGUCCAACGUUAAUCGGGGCAGGGUGAGUCGACCCCUAAGGCGAGGCCGAAAGGCGUAGUCGAUGGGAAACAGGUUAAUAUUCCUGUACUUGGUGUUACUGCGAAGGGGGGACGGAGAAGGCUAUGUUAGCCGGGCGACGGUUGUCCCGGUUUAAGCAUGUAGGCUGAUUGUCCAGGCAAAUCCGGAUAAUCAAGGCUGAGGUGUGAUGACGAGGCACUACGGUGCUGAAGUAACAAAUGCCCUGCUUCGGGAAAAGCCUCUAAGCAUCAGGUAACAUCAAAUCGUACCCCAAACCGACACAGGUGGUCAGGUAGAGAAUACCAAGGCGCUUGAGAGAACUCGGGUGAAGGAACUAGGCAAAAUGGUGCCGUAACUUCGGGAGAAGGCACGCUGGUGUGUGUGAAGCCCCUGCGGGUGGAGCUGAGACCAGUCGAAGAUACCAGCUGGCUGCAACUGUUUAUUAAAAACACAGCACUGUGCAAACACGAAAGUGGACGUAUACGGUGUGACGCCUGCCCGGUGCCGGAAGGUUAAUUGAUGGGGUUAUCCGUAAGGAGAAGCUCUUGAUCGAAGCCCGGUAAACGGCGGCCGUAACUAUAACGGUCCUAAGGUAGCGAAAUUCCUUGUCGGGUAAGUUCCGACCUGCACGAAUGGCGUAAUGAUGGCUGCUGUCUCCACCCGAGACUCAGUGAAAUUGAACUCGCUGUGAAGAUGCAGUGUACCCGCGGCAAGACGGAAAGACCCCGUGAACCUUUACUAUAGCUUGACACUGAACAUUGAGCCUUGAUGUAGGAUAGGUGGGAGGCUUUGAAGCGUGGACGCCAGUCUGCGUGGAGCCAACCUUGAAAUACCACCCUUUAAUGUUUGAUGUUCUAACGUUGGCCCCUUAUCGGGGUUGCGGACAGUGUCUGGUGGGUAGUUUGACUGGGGCGGUCUCCUCCCAAAGCGUAACGGAGGAGCACGAAGGUUAGCUAAUCUGGUCGGACAUCAGGAGGUUAGUGCAAUGGCAUAAGCUAGCUUGACUGCGAGCGUGACGGCGCGAGCAGGUGCGAAAGCAGGUCAUAGUGAUCCGGUGGUUCUGAAUGGAAGGGCCAUCGCUCAACGGAUAAAAGGUACCGGGGAUAACAGGCUGAUACCGCCCAAGAGUUCAUAUCGACGGCGGUGUUUGGCACCUCGAUGUCGGCUCAUCACAUCCCGGGCUGAAGUAGGUCCCAAGGGUAUGGCUGUUCGCCAUUUAAAGUGGUACGCGAGCUGGGUUUAGAACGUCGUGAGACAGUUCGGUCCCUAUCUGCCGUGGGCGCUGGAGAAUUGAGGGGCUGCUCCUAGUACGAGAGGACCGGUGGACGCAUCACUGGUGUUCGGGUUGUCAUGCCAAUGGCACUGCCCGGUAGCUAAAUGCGGAAGAGAUAAGUGCUGAAAGCAUCUAAGCACGAAACUUGCCCCGAGAUGAGUUCUCCCUGAGACUUUAAGUCUCCUGAAGGAACGUUGAAGACGACGACGUUGAUAGGCCGGGUGUGUAAGCGCAGCGAUGCGUUGAGCUAACCGGUACUAAUGAACCGUGAGGCUUAACCUUACAACGCCGAAG